CUACACAGCAAAAACUGGAGUGUUAAAAUUUCAGGGUUAAAGAUGUUAGAGUUGAUUUCCACUCUCAAAGUGUCAUAUUAACACAUUCUGAUUCAAAUAGUAUUCAGUGUUGGAGUUAUUAAACAGUGUUAUUCAAGUCCAAGCAAAUGAACUCUGAAGAGAGUUAUUUAACUUGGUAGGCCCCUGGGCUUCUGCCCAGGUAAACCCGUGGAUCAAUUAAUAGUUUGCUCUGCCGGGCCGAUUUUCCAUGUGCUUCUGCUGGUUACACCGUGGUGGAUGCCUGCCGUGCUGCUUGGAGUAUUUUACACAAACGGUAAGUUAUUCAAACUUAUAUAAAAUUCACAGUAUUCUAUCGGCGCAGUGAGGUUUUCUUGAUGUUUCUUGGUGUUCGGUUGCUGAAAACGAGCUUUAAUAGAGGAGGAGAUGUGUCGAAAAUUCUAUUUAGCCUCCAAUGCUAAUGUUGCAGUCUUUUUACUCGUAAGUGACGGUAGACACUGCACGUGGAAGCGCCGCGCCAAGUUCAGCUUUUCCCCUGUUCACACAGACACGUCUUUCUCCACGCCAGUUCAUGAGCGUUUUUGCUUCUCUGUUUAUUCAGAGUAAUUUUUUCACAAUUGAUAAGUAAAUAACAUCCCAAAAUAAUUGAAGAGAGCUUGUUUUAGUCACUCCUGCUUUUACUUUGACAUCGUUCAUCGCUGACUUGUCUCUAAUCUGUCUCUCUCUCUGUCUCACUCUCUUCUCCCUUUGAGACACCCGCCCCAAACAUAGUCAGUUAGGCUGUCCCCUCCUUUGCUAUGUGUUCAUUUUCAUCUCUAUUGUCUCUUUUCAUACACAAAUCUGAUCGCAUUUGUCAAUCGCAGUAUUUUAUUUUGGAGAAUAGCUUUUAUCUUCAAAAUUGCCUGGAUUGUCUUGUGUGUCUUGGUGUAACUUCCUGCGGAACAUGCGUGGGCCACGCAAAAAAUAGACCAGAUACCGAAACAAUCGCUUCGUAGCACUCCGUGUCUGGUGUAAACUACACCAUAGAUUAACGUGUAUUUUGUAUUGUGUUAUGUAUCAAUUGGACUCCUGCAUGGACAGACACAGGUUUAUUUGAUAACAUUAAAUGUUAUUGCAGUGAAAUUCAAACGCAUGGUCAGUAUUAAUCACCAUGUACGGUAUAUGUCAGUGUUUUAAUCAUUUGUGCUUGAAUUGCUCUAAAUGUCAAAUACUAUGCCAUCUUUGUUAUUAUUUUAUCCCAGUAAAAUGCUGGUUCAGGUUCGAUACUGCCAACAGCAGAAGUAUGUGAAGUUGGAAGAGGUUGAUGGGCGUUUUGAGUUUAUGCAGUUUCAUGAAAAAGAAUUUUCUGAUUACUCCUUGUCUUCUGCAUCUGAUUGUUCUGACUCAAGCUUCAGCUCAAAUGCAAGUACAUCAACUAUACUUCUAGAUGAGGGUCCCAGGAAGAAAACAAGAGUUGAGGGUACUGUUGAUGCAGCAUCUGCUAAAAAGUUAAUUGAAGGUGUACUUGGAACCAAUUCAGGUGGUGAAGAGGUUCUCCAGGAAUAUCACACAACACAAACUCUGACAGAUGCUACCAGAAGAAAAAUGGUCAAUAUAAUAGUGGCUCACAUGAUUGAUUGCCAUGGGCACCUCCCCACCAAAGCUGUUAGAGAACAGUACGCGCUAGGGGUAGUGACAUUGUUCCCAUCCCUGAAAGACCCAUACUCCAAGAAAGGCUAUGAACACUUCUAUGAUGCUGCAAGCAGCACUGGAUACAUUUCUUGGCGUUUGAAAACGAUACAGAGAAAGACUAGAAGAGGAUCUGCACCACCAAGUAGCUCCACUGGCUUUACUCAAGGAGCACCUAUGCUUUUAUGUUUGUGUGUUUUUCUUCAGGGGGCCCAAAUUACCAAAGGCCCAUUAAUGUCGACAUGCAGCUUGAUGGAGAUGCUUGCCAGGAGGCCAUCUCUUUGCUGAAACAUACAUCCGACACUUCCUUGAUUUUCCAGAAGAUGAGAGAGACCUUUCAGCAUCGUCAGAAGGUCAUCAAUGAUCCUGACAAAAGUCUUGAUAUCCUGUCUAUCUUCCCAAGAUUCUUGGAUACAAGAGGAUUGGUGAAUCAAGACUUCACUCUCCUGUUUGAUGAUGAGAUAUCUACCAGGCUGCUUCAGAAAUGGGAUCCAAUCUUUAGGUAUCAAAUCAUCAAAGAGGCCAAGCAGCUCACCUCAACAGUAGAGUUGCGUCAAUUGGUGCAGUCAGCAGAGAGUCCACCAGGAAGUGAUCUUGAUGAGGCAGCAACCUUUGACCAAGACAUGGCCUCCCUGUUGUUACUGUUACAUCUACUUCCGCCACCCCCAGGAGGACCAAAGUAUCAAAAAAUCAGCGCCUCUGAUGCUGUUGAGAGACUUGUAGUCUUUCAUAAGUCUUGCUGCAGUUUGGAAGAGCAUCUCCAGAAUCAGCAGAGUCAGCAGCCAUACCUCCUGGCUGUUGGGCGCCAGAAGAGGAAGGUCGACAGCUUCUAUGUUGCCAUAGACAAGCGUCUCAUCCCCUGCCAGGCCAGCCGCUCCCUUGGGGCAUUUGAUGAGCUUUUUAAAGCUCAUUUUGUGUUCAAUGUGUCUUAUGAUGCUGCACUUGUGAAUUUCUACACAUUUCUGCAGACAACAGUAUACAAUAUUGAUAUGGGGAAAAUGAAGGAGUCCCCAAGAGUGCGUGACUUGAGAGCCAAAAUCCUUAACCAGGAAAUUCUUCUCACAACCUAAGUAAAAAUCAUUAAAAUGCUGACAUGUUUUUUGUGUAAGAGAGCUUAUCUCAGCAGUCAGCAGCUGAUUUCACAUUUAAGAGGUGAACAUGGUUAUUAUCCUGGACCUAAGUUUAAGUUGUGUUGUUGGCAGCCAGGCUGCAGGCUUCAGUUCCAAACUUAUGCAGGCUUUAGGAAGCACCUCAGUUUUCACAGCAAUGUUGACCACAAUGAUCGAACUUCAGCCAUUGCUUCUUUUUCUAAUGACACAGUUUCACCUGCUUUGGAGGACCAGUUUAAUUCCUCUUAUCUUCCUCACAGUUCUCCCAGUGUUCUUCCAGAGUCUAGUUCUUCCAGUGUUCCAGUGAGCAUUGAUUCAGUACUUACAAGGGAUUCAUCCAAAGAAAUCUGUGCAUCCAUUGUGGCCAAACUGCAGGGUAGUGGCCUUUCUAACAGUUUAGUAUCCUCACUUGUAGGCGAUUUGGAGGAAUUAACAAGUGAGCUUCGCUCAGAAGCAAAGCAGGCCAUUCUUUCUGCGUUACCCACAAAGGACUCCAGCAUAUCUUUAAUAAAUGAAUGUUUUGAAAAUUUUGAAAACCCUUUCACCAAUCUGAACACAGAAUGGAAACGAAAUAAAUACUUCAAUCUAAAAUGGGGAGUUGUAGAACCUAGAGAAAUAACACUUGGAGUGAGGUAUGACAUCAGGCGAAAUCAGAAGUUUGGUACUUAUGAUCAAGUACCUGUGAAGGAUACUUUUAUAUAUGUACCUAUUUUGGAGUCUUUGAAGUUCAUGUUUAGAAAUCCAGAGAUUUGUGUUUUCCUGCAGAGAGAGUGUAGCUCAGAGCCUGAUGCUUAUCAUGACUUUUGUGAUGGAAGUUACUUUAAAACUCACCCUUUGUUUUCAGCCAAAAGGCAUGCAUUACAAAUUCAGCUAUACUAUGAUGACUUUGAAACAGCCAAUCCUCUUGGCUCUAAACGCGGAAUUCACAAAAUUGGCUGUAUUUAUUUUGUUAUAAGAAACUUGCCCCCAAAAUUUAAUUCCAUUUUGAUGAACAUUCAUUUAGUGUCACUUUUCCACACACCAGAUCUGCAAAAGUAUGGUUUUGAUGUUAUACUGGAACCACUGAUAAAUGAUGUCAAAAAACUGGAAAGCCAAGGGCUAAGUCUUCCAUUUUCUGAUGAGCAGGUAUAUGGCACAAUAUCACAGAUCACUGGAGAUAACCUAGGGAUGCACUCAAUUCUUGGUUUUAAUGAGUCGUUCAGUAGCCGUCAUUUCUGUCGCCUUUGUUUGAUUGAGAAGAAUGAUUGUCAAAUGGUGUACAGUGAGGAUGAUCCUAAAAUUAUUCUUCGUGGGAAAGAUUUGUUUGACAUACAUUGCCAGUCUCUUCGGGAAGAUCCUAAAUUGAAGUCACUGUAUGGGUUGAAAAGAAAUUCUGCACUCAAUUCAUUGCAGUAUUACCAUAUUUGCAAUAACUACUCAUUUGAUAUAAUGCAUGACCUUCUUGAAGGUGUGGCUCAGUAUGAGGUCAAAUUGCUUUUUGAGUAUCUUACGCAACACUUCAUAUCAGAACAGAACUUGCUUUCUAGGAUUUAUGGUUUUGACUAUGGAUUUUUAGAAAGAAAAAACCGGCCCACUAAAAUCAUAUUGGACAGUGCUGGCAAUAGCAUUGGUUUGAACUCUAUCCAGACAUUCUGUCUUGUGAAAAACAUCCCACUUUUGUUUGGUGACAUUAUUCCUGCAGGGAACAGACACUGGAAUUUGUUAUUGUUGUUACUUCAAAUAAUGAACAUUGUUUUUUCACCUUGUCUCACUCUGGGAAUGACUAUAUAUUUGAAGAAUUUGAUUAUUGACCACCACAAACUAUUUAAGCACACGUAUCCACACAGAAACUUGAUUCCUAAGCAUCAUUUUAUGAUUCAUUACCCAUCCUGUAUUCGAAAAAUUGGCCCUUUACUGUAUAUGUGGAGUAUGAGGUUUGAAGCUAAGCACAAGUUGUUCAAAGAUUAUUUCAAAAAUUUCAAAAACCUCACCAAAUCGCUUGCUAAACGGCAUCAGAUGGCCAUUGCUUAUCACUGGGAAACCUUUUCUCUUAAACAGAAGGAGUUUGGGCCAAUUAAAUCAUUUUCUUUAAGAGGUGAAAGUGUGGUCAAUAGUGAAAUGCUAUUAUCAAAAGAUGUUUUCUCAACAAGUUGGGUUAAAAUUGAUGGUGUAGAGUACAAAGCUGGACUCGUUGUUUGCAGUACAAUGGAGGAAGACAUGCCAGUCUUUUGUCAAAUAAUUGAUACACUUAUGGUUGAAAAUGACAUUUUUUUGUUGACACACAAACUCUUUACUGAAAACUUUGAUGAACAUCACCAUGCAUUCAAAGUAGUACAAACUGAAGAACGGUGUGUCAUAAAAAUAACUGAACUCAAAUGUCACAGACCAUUUGAUAUUCAAAACUCAUACAGUGCUGCAGAUGAAAGUUUGUACAUUAUAUCUUCAUUUAUUAUGUUUUGAUUCACUUUCUGGGAAAAAGAAGCAUGAUAAUAAAUGUUUUUGGACAAUGUACAGUUUUCUUGAAAUUAUUCUCAUGAUUGUACUUGUUGUCGUUAAAAAGUUAUGUUAAUCUAUUACAUAAAUAGUUCUUUUAGGGAUUAAAACUACCUUAAUAAAAGAUUAAAGAGUUAAAGUAGUGUUAUUUUUCAAUCUGUGUAGUGUUAAUUUAACCCAGUUUGGUGAGUUAAAAAAUUAACUCAGACAUGGUGUUAAUAAUAAUUUGCUCAGUGUUAAUUUAACCCGGUUUUAAGAGUUAAAAAUUAACUCAGACAUGGUGUUAAUAAUAAUUUGCUCAGUGUUAAUUUAACCCGGUUUUAAGAGUUAAAAAUUAACUCAGACAUGGUGUUAAUAAUAAUUUGCUCAGUGUUAAUUUAACCCAGUUUUAAGAGUUAAAGAAGGAACUCUGACAAAGUGUUAAAUAAUUAACUAUUUUGAAAAUGUUAAUUCAACUCUGUAGAGUGUGGAGCUAUAUAAACCCUGAAAAAAUGUUAAAAUCAACUCUGUGGGAGUUGAUUCAACACUACAGUUUUUGCUGUGUA
ensembl:lncRNA